UACGGGAGGCAGCAGUGGGGAAUAUUGCACAAUGGGCGCAAGCCUGAUGCAGCCAUGCCGCGUGUAUGAAGAAGGCCUUCGGGUUGUAAAGUACUUUCAGUCGUGAGGAAGGUGUUAAGGUUAAUAACCUUAGCAAUUGACGUUAGCGACAGAAGAAGCACCGGCUAACUCCGUGCCAGCAGCCGCGGUAAUACGGAGGGUGCGAGCGUUAAUCGGAAUUACUGGGCGUAAAGGGCACGCAGGCGGUUAAUUAAGUUGGAUGUGAAAUCCCCGGGCUUAACCUGGGAAUGGCAUUCAAGACUGGUUAGCUAGAGUCUUGUAGAGGGGGUAGAAUUCCAUGUGUAGCGGUGAAAUGCGUAGAGAUGUGGAGGAAUACCGGGUGGCGAAGGCGGCCCCUGGGACAAAGGACUGACGCUCAUGUGCGAAAGCGUGGGGAGCAAACGAGGAUUAGAUACC
rnacentral:rRNA from 1 species